rnacentral:lncRNA from 1 species
AACCGGAUGCGCUGUUAUCACCUAGAUUAGUCAUACUAAUCGUGGAGUGACCUCAGUCGAUGUAGUCGUACAAGCCGAUGCUAGAAGAGGUACGCAGUGCAAUCCCUCGAAUGGCACCAGGAAGUAGAUGAAGUCCCUCCUCAAUUACUCAUGUGGGACUAAUCACAUAACUCCCUAGCAUUUAUUAGUGGGCGUUAAUUCUUUUAAUUGAAUUAUUGAAUAAUUGGGCCAACCCUGUAUAUUCCAACACCUAAUAGGUAUAGUUAGGUCUUGCAAUCUGACCUGAAACUGUCCAACUGCUGGCUAAAUGCCAUGAUGCUAAUAGAGUCCAACUGCCGUCUUGCAAAUCGGUGAUGGGUUCAUAAAUAAUUUCAGGGAGAUAUAGGUGGCCUUUUAGUUUGAUGCAAAUCUCAUAUGAACACAUCCUCUGUGCUUGUCUCGGAAAGUGGGGCCCCGAGUUAUCCUGUUCAUCUUGAAGGUCGUCUUGCUGGGCGUCAGUGUCUGCCAGCCUGGAAAAACCACAAAAUUGCAUCUUACAGCAACUGUAGUCAUCUCUCGUAGGUCGUAGUCCUUGUUACAUGGCACAUGCUAGGUUUGAGAGUCGAGAUCGUAUAGGCUCAUCAUAUCCAAUUCAAAAUAUUUCUGCGAUUUUAUAUGGGGAGGGAUUAAAAACAAACCAAACCUACCUGUUAACAUUGAUAGUUGAAAGUUUUUUUAGAAUGUUAUGCCAAUAGGAAACUCCAAAAUAAGAUGAUAUAGCGAGCCGUGAUAGGAAGAGGUGAAGAGCCUAGCUCAACUGUGUUGGGUGGGAGGACUGGCUGCGUAUCCUAACUGCUCACCACUCAUGUUGAAAUCCUAAAAUACUCCUUUAACUCGAAUUUGAAUUCUUAUUUCCUUUCUUAAUGAAAAAACCACAUAUUAUCUUAGGUUGGAUCUCAUUUUUAAGAUGAUAUGACAAUCACCAAUAUACUAAAACAUUGAUGUGAAAAACAUAGGAAUCUACUAGAGGAGCGGAUCCAGCGUGGGAGCUGGAGCCCCACUACUCACAUGCAGCUCAUGGAGCGCUCCUAAAGCAAAAUGAGGAGAGCCCCCCUACUCCCCUGCCCACCACAAAAAAAAAAUUCAGCCAUGGGCCGAUGAAAAGGAGGAAGAAGAAAAUGGGGAGAAAGAAGAUGGGAAAGGGAGGAGGAAGGAAGAAGAAGGAGAUUCGCAAAAAAAAAGGAAGAAGGAGGGAAAACUCAGCCCCCAAUACGAAGUUAUGGAUCUGUCCCCUGCUCUUGGUAUUUGACCAUAUGAUUAAGGUUUGUCACCCUUGACUUGUCCAAAACAUAAGCAUAUGUGAUUGGAAUUUUUCUUUAGCACACUGCAAGUUCAUUUCCUGUAGGGAUUAUUUGUGCUCUAUAGAAGUCAUGAAAUCACUAAAUCCUAGGUACCAAUGGAGCCUCAGCAUCGUGCUAAUUGAUGCAAGAGUGUAACUAUCAAAAGUCCCCGUCCCCCGUGUCACCUCUCUCAGGUGGCACGGGCGGAUCUCCGCCGCCGCCUCACUAGGCCUCAUCUCCUCCCGCCCCAUGGCCUCGCUGCCACUAGAGAGACUCGUCGGAAGCCCGUAGAGGCUCGAGGAGGGCGGUGGUGAGGAGUCUCACC